rnacentral:rRNA from 1 species
CAUGUCUGUAUGAGAGUUAUAUAAAGUCUGACCUGCCCAUUGGGGACUAAAAGGCCGCGGUAUUUUGACCGUGCGAAGGUAGCAUAAUCAUUAGUCUUUUAAUUGAAGGCUGGAAUGAAUGGUUGGACGAGAAGAAAGCUGUCUCUAUCUUGGGGAUUGAAUUUAACUUUUAAGUGAAAAGGCUUAAAUGAGUUAGAGGGACGAUAAGACCCUAUAAAGUUUAUACAUGAAGCUGGUUAAGAGUGAUUUGAGGUAUUAAAGUUUAUUAUCAGCAGGGUGUUUAGUUGGGGCGACUAGGAUAUAAAUUAUAUAACUGUUUUUUGUUUAAAUCAGAGAUACUUGUUUAUAUGAUCCCUUUUUAGGAUUAGAGAAUAAAUUACUUUAGGGAUAACAGCGUAAUUUUUUUUAAGAGUUCUUAUCGACAAGAGAGUUUGCGACCUCGAUGUUGAAUUAAAAAUUUCUUUGUGGUGUAGCAGUUACAGAAGAAGGUCUGUUCGACCUUUAAAUUUUUACAUGAUUUGAGUUCAGACCGGCGAAAGCCAG